GCUGGGCGUGGAGGCACGUGCCUGUAAUCCCAGCCACUUGGGAGGCUGAGGCUGGAGGAGCACUUGAGCCCAGGAGUUCUGCGCCGUAGUGCACUAUGCCAACUGGGUGUCUGCACUAAGUUCAGGAUAAAUAUGGUGACCUCCUGGGAGCGAGGGACCACCAGGUUGCCUAAGGAGGGGUGAACUGGCUGAGGUUGGAAAUGGAACAAGUCAAAACUCCCAUGCUGAUCAGUAAUGGGAUUGUGUCUGUGAAUAGCCACUGCACUCCAGCCUGGACAACAUAUAAAAAU
ensembl:misc_RNA Metazoa_SRP Metazoan signal recognition particle RNA